GGCCAACUGGCCCAAUGGCAAGGCGCUUGACUACGAUUACGGGUAUACAGCCCGCAAACUGGAAUCAAGAGAUUGUAGGUUCGAUCCCUACGUUGGUCA